ACUUUGGCUUGGUUUUGUGAUAAUCU
rnacentral:piRNA from 1 species